UGCUCGCGUAUGUGGUGAACAUUUUGUUAAAGGUGCGUAGACGAACUUUGUAAUUCAAUAUUAAAAGCAAUUGGGAAAGAGUUUGAACUGAAGCGCCUUGCAAAAUGUCUAUUGAUUCUAUGAAUAUAAUUGUUUACAUUCAUAAUUUUCUUGUUUCCAAGGUCGUCCAAGCAAUGUCUACGACGAACACGACGUUGAUUGGGCUCCUACACUUAAAUUGGGUCACCAGAAAUUAAAACCUAUUCGUGAAAGUGCCAUUAAAAGAAACGAUCGGACCAAAAAGCGAGACCUUAAACGACGCCAUUCCGAAGCAGCCGUUGCCCUCCUUGAUUUACUAAAGCUGGCUCGACUGGACUCUAACGUCCAUCAAGAACAUGAACACCCAGGAGAAAAUAACUUAUAUUUACAAUAAGAGUCAAAUAUCAACCAUGCUGAAUGCCAGACUGAAAGAUAGGUUCAACAUGUAGAGUGCCAAACAGACCUAACAGUCAACUAUUUAAAGUCAAUGGAAGAAGACAUAAAGAGAUGCAAUGAGGAACUAUGCACACUUAAAGAGAAAGCCCUUGAAGCACUAAUAGCUUUGAAAAGGAUAAUGACAAGACCUAGUUUUACACUGGGCUGCCAAACUUCCUGGUACUAUUACAAGUUUUCAACCUUUGUGAACCCUUUAUAACACAUAUGAAGAGAUCUUCUUUGGAAAAUUUCGAGCAAAUACUUUUGGUUCUGAUGAGAUUGAAAUUAAUUCUUCCACUACAGGAUUUACCUUACAGGUUUGGAAUAUCAUGCUCCACGGCAUCAAGAAUUUUCACAAAAUUGUUACCAUCAUGCAUGUGAGUGACAAACAAUUAACUGAAGCUAGUGGUAUUUUGGACAAUUUAUUACCUGGAGAUGUUGUUCUUGCUGAUAGAGGUUUUAACAUUGUGAAGAGUGUUGGGCUUUAUUGUGCUUCAUUGAAAACACCAGCAUUUACAAAAGGGAAAACACAGUUAUCACCAUAUGAAGUGGAAGAGACC